UGCGGACUCUUCGGAGGGAAGGCAGUGGAUGAGCGGCGGACGGGUGAGUACACGUAAGGAACCUGCCUCAAGGAUUGGGAUAACUCCGAGAAAUCGGAGCUAAUACCGGAUAGUUCAACGGACCGCAUGGUCCGCUGAUGAAAGGCGCUUCGGCGUCACCUUGAGAUGGCCUUGCGGUGCAUUAGCUAGUUGGUGGGGUAACGGCUCACCAAGGCGACGAUGCAUAGCCGACCUGAGAGGGUGAUCGGCCACACUGGGACUGAGACACGGCCCAGACUCCUACGGGAGGCAGCAGUAGGGAAUCUUCCACAAUGGACGAAAGUCUGAUGGAGCAACGCCGCGUGAGUGAUGAAGGUUUUCGGAUCGUAAAACUCUGUUGUAAGGGAAGAACACGUACGAGAGGUAAUGCUCGUACCUUGACGGUACCUUACGAGAAAGCC
rnacentral:rRNA from 1 species